ensembl:lncRNA
AAAUUUAAGAGAUUAUAGUGCAUUCGGCUUUAACACAGGGCAGUACUGUGUGCAGAGUCAAGGGACUGUUUUAGAGGUAAGGCAGUGCCAUAUCGUGCUACAACACCAAACCUGGAGGCAUGAACAGAUGUUCAGUAAGCAUAUCUGCAAGUAAUAGUUCUGAUGUACUCCAGAAACUGGUUCUUUGUACAUGGACAUACGAGUAGUACUAUGUGCAUAAUAUUCCUGUCUCUUUCCAUGCUUGCUCGUGAAAGAGGUUGAUCAAAACCAGACUUCUGUCUGCGCAUUUUAAAGGUCUUCUAUUGGUGGCAAUCCAGUUUUGACUGCUGUUUCUUUGUGGGGUCUCAGUCCCUUUCCUGAUAUGACCUGAUGUGAUGGGGGAAAGAAGGUAGAGUCCUCUGGCAAGGAAGUCAGAAACUUAAGCAAUUCCUUGACAAUUUUAACUGUUCCAAGAAAUAGCUAACAUUAAAAACUUCAGAGAAGGCAAUCCUAGGUUUCCCAACAGUCUGUCACCCUCACCAGCUUCAGCAAUCUUGUAGAUGUCAGCUUUGGAAAUAUUACUGGUCAUGGCCAAGUCACUUAGCUCAUUCCGAGCCUAAGGCGGGUAUUCCGUACACAGAGAGCAAUAAUUGUCAUUCCAGCUUAAAGACCACGGUCUUCAAAAAUAAAACUCUGAACAUGCUAAACAGGCAUCUGACUUAGAAGGGAUUUUCCUUCCUUCUUAUCUCUGGGCAACCCCUCCUGAAAGACUAAAAGUAAACCAAAACAAAAAACAAACCAACAUACAUUCUUAACAAUAUUAAACAGGCAUAAGCUGGGGCCUUUGAGUAUGUUUCAACUUUGCAGUAUUUCAGUGUUUCUGAUCAAAAACUAAGAUGGUAGCUGUGUUUAACACAUCCUUUCUGUUGAGAACAUGCUUCAGGUGAUAGGGGAUUAUAGUGUUGACAAAUGAGAUUCCUUUAAUUAGCAAACACUGCUGUAAAACAUUUUCAGAACCAGUUUUGGUAGUGUUAAGGACAGCCAUUUUUAUACUGGAGUAAUUUCUUAAGGAAAACCAUCAAAACAUGGGAAACCAUCAGUCUCCUAUUCAAUAAAGGUGGCAGAAUAAAAUGGAGAAAACUCGCUGCUGCUUGAGUGCAGAAUCUUACAUUUAUCUUGAUGAACUGCAUCUUGGUGUUUGGGAGACAAUUUCCCCAAUUGAAGUGUUCUGUAUAAUCCUGUUUUCUAGCAUAGUUGUAGUACUGCUUUUCAUGCAAUUUCACUUUUUUUUUUUAUUGUGAAAUCAUUCUGUGUAAUUCAAAAUCUGAAGAGAGUUUUUUGUACGUCC